UACGAAGGGGGCUAGCGUUGUUCGGAAUUACUGGGCGUAAAGCGCACGUAGGCGGAUAUUUAAGUCAGGGGUGAAAUCCCGGGGCUCAGCCCCGGAACUGCCUUUGAUACUGGGUAUCUCGAGUCCGAGAGAGGUGAGUGGAAUUCCGAGUGUAGAGGUGAAAUUCGUAGAUAUUCGGAGGAACACCAGUGGCGAAGGCGGCUCACUGGCUCGGUACUGACGCUGAGGUGCGAAAGCGUGGGGAGCAAACAGG
rnacentral:rRNA from 1 species